rnacentral:lncRNA from 1 species
AAGGUCCCUGAGGUUUGCUGUCACAGUUGGCUGUUUGGCAGGGAUCUGACCUGUCAUUUGGAAGAACAAGGUUCUUAAAUUCCAGAGGUCAUCUGGGAAUAGUGUCCAAGCAUUCCCAGUUUCCUUCCCUAGAGAUCAAACUCAGGGCCUUGUGCACUCGAGGCAAAUGAACCAAAGACCUGUGACCAGAGAAAUGCUCAGACAGACAUAGCAAGGCCUGCCCUGUGGUCACUAGAAGCAGACACACACCAGGAAGGUUAAGAAGGCUUGACCUGACGAAAGAACAGCACCAUCAGCAAGGGACCAAGCCUUCAGUACACCAGGCCUCAGGGGACAUGCAGCAGCGAUAAAGCCAUUACGACUUAUUCAAAAAACUCAUUGACUAUAUACACAAUGUAAGAAUGAACGCAAAUCAUCACUGACAAGGAACCAGAACCUUACCCUCACCUAACAACUGUGCCACCCUCCAAGCAGAGCCAUUGUUCAUUGAAACAGUUGAUGAACGACUUCAUGGAUAGACCAUCGUAAUGCACACACCAUUUCUUAUAUGAAUGUAACCUGUUCCUGCGGGCUGAGAAUGAAGACAAUCACUCAAGUCAAAUAGCUUUGACCAAAGAAGGAAAUCUGUAUCCAAAAAUUGUGCCUACAAUUCAUUCCUUGGCACUGCAGAACUGUCAAGUCUUAGCUUAUCUACUGUGGAGGUAAAAUCCUCCAUAGUAGAGAAUGUGAGGGACAUUCAAGUACAGCCUUAUUACAAUGAACUCCAAUGUCCAAAAAUUGUUCUUAUUUUGGGUUUGUACCACCAAAAGAGCCAAGAUUUUAAGCUCUACUAAAAACAAAACAAAACAAACAAACAAACAAAAUGACUUUAUCUAUUCAUGUUCAUUAAAAAAACUAAUAGUGAUAUAUUAUUUUAAAAUAUAUAGUUAAUAUAGUUGGAGUUACUUAAAAUUUAUAUUGAGAA